rnacentral:rRNA from 1 species
CCUACGGGAGGCAGCAGUGAGGAAUAUUGGUCAAUGGACGAGAGUCUGAACCAGCCAAGUAGCGUGAAGGAUGACUGCCCUAUGGGUUGUAAACUUCUUUUAUAAAGGAAUAAAACGCGGCACGUGUGCCUUUUUGCAUGUACUUUAUGAAUAAUGAUCGUCUAACUCCGUGCCAGCAGCCGCGGUAAUACGGAGGAUCCGAGCGUUAUCCGGAUUUAUUGGGUUUAAAGGGAGCAUAGAUGGGUGGUUAAGUCAGUUGUGAAAGUUUGCGGCUCAACCGUAAAAUUGCAAUUGAUACUGGCAGUCUGGAGUACAGUAGAGGUAGGCGGAAUUCGUGGUGUAGCGGUGAAAUGCUUAGAUAUCACGAAGAACCCCGAUUGCGAAGGCAGCUUACUAAACUGUGACUGACAUUGAUGCUCGAAAGUGUGGGUAUCAAACAGGAUUAGAUACCCGUGUAGUC